AAGAGGGGAGGUAAAAAUGAAGAAGAGACAGAGAGAGAAAGUUGGCGGCGCGCAGCGAUAGCUAGAACAGGAGGGAUGAAGAGCGGCGAGGUCUGCCUCGUCUAGGCAGCUCCGAGAGUCUACUCCCACCUAGCUCUCCUCUUCCUUGCUCGCUUUCUCUCUCUCCUCUUUCAGUGUUCGUUCGAACACGGCCCGGUACGGUUCUGUCGCCCCGUGCUCGAAGGAUUCUCUUCGUGAUGGGAGCUCGCUGCCGCGGUGGUAUCGGCAGGUUCCCUCGGUAGCCGAUUCCCCGACCCAUCCAUGUCGCACGUCCCGUCAGGGUGACACGCGCGAUUCUCGCUCGCGGUCCGUUUAAUCGGCACACACACACACAUAUAUAUAUAUUAUAUACACAUACAAUUCGAAGAUAAACAUCCGGGAGAAGAUAAAGGGGGGGGACUUGAAAACACGGAAACGGAGGAAGAGGGUGAAAAGUGCGUGUCGUGGAGAAGGAGAGAGAUAAAAGUGUAGAAAUCGUGAAGGAAGGAACUGUUGAAAAUAUUGUUAUCUAUGGGAAAGAAACGGUGGUGAGAAGACUGGACGAAGGAAGGAAGACGCGGGUUGUUCGUACGUUCGUCGUAUGUUUCGAAAACGGUUUAAAAAAAGAAAAAAGUCAUCGAGGAUAAAAGGAAGAUCGGAUAAUUUGAUCGAACGCGAUUCGAUCCUGUUAGGGAAUCGAAAAUUGUAGGUUUUCGUCAAGAUUCGAUUUCCCUUUAGAAUCUUGUCUCUCAUCCUCCUUUGGAAGGUAUAAUAUAGAAUCGUCGGAGCCGUUAUUAUAUCGCGGACAAUUCGAGAAUCUUCGAAUCGAGGCGAGAAGGUGAAAACGAUUACGACGUUACGCGCGCGCGAGAGAAAAUCGGGGAGGAAAGAUGCCGGGAAAUUAUUCGACCCGUUGCGAGCCAGGCCUGGUGGUACCGAUAUGGAGGCCGCAGGAGAAUCUCAAUUUGUCCGACAUAAUCUUCCGCGGCUUCGUCUAUUUCUCCCUGUUGUUGUACCUGUUCAUCGGCGUGUCGAUUAUCAGCGAUCGUUUCAUGGCUGCGAUCGAGGUGAUCACCUCGAAGGAGAAGGAAUUGGUUGUUCGCCGGCAGGGUAAAGAGCCUCAGAUCGUGGUGGUGCGAGUAUGGAACGAGACUGUGGCCAACUUAACGUUAAUGGCUUUGGGGAGUAGCGCGCCCGAGAUCCUUUUGUCGAUCAUCGAGAUCUGGGCGAAGAACUUCGAGGCGGGUGAAUUAGGGCCAGGGACGAUCGUUGGCUCGGCCGCGUACAAUCUCUUCGUCAUCAUCUCGCUGUGCGUGUUCGUGAUACCGAACGGCGAAACGAGGAAGAUCAAACAUUUGAGAGUUUUCUUCGUCACCGCCACGUGGAGCAUAUUCGCCUACGUUUGGCUCUACUUGAUCCUGGCUGUCUCGAGCCCCGGCGUGCUCGAAGUUUGGGAGGGAAUACUCACCUUCUCCUUCUUCCCGGCCACCGUGCUCACGGCCUACGUGGCCGAUCGCCGCCUGCUCAUCUACAAGUAUCUGCACAAGGGUUACAGAAUGAACAAGAGGGGUGUGAUCGUGCAGGCCGAGGCGGGCGACUCGGAUGGCGGGGUGGAGCUUGAGAUCAAGCCGCAGCAGGACAGUUUUCACAACAUGAUGGACGCCGACACGCCCGAGGCGAAGGAGUUCGAGCAGACGAGGAGAGACUAUAUCAACACUUUGAGAGAGUUGAGGAAGAAAUAUCCUACUUUGCCGUUGGAACAAUUGGAAGUGAUGGCGCACGAGGAGGUGCUCGGCAAGGGGCCGAAGAGCAGAGCGUUUUACAGGGUGCAGGCUACGAGGAAGAUGGUCGGUGCUGGGAAUCUGAGCAAGAAGAUCAGCGAAAGGGCCCAGAGCGACUUGAGCGAGGUGAAGGCCGAGCUGCAGAAGCAAGAAGCCGAGAGCAUCGAGAUCGAGAACGUGAACGCGAUGAGAAUCUUCUUCGAGCCUGGCCACUACACCGUGAUGGAGAACGUGGGCAGUUUCGAAGUGGGAGUGACCAGAGCCGGUGGUGAUCUGAGCAAACCGUGCACCGUCGACUAUUGCACCGAGGAUGGCUCCGCCGAGGCUGGCUCCGAUUACAUUAGCGCCAAGGGCACCCUCACCUUCGAUUCGGGCGAGACCAAGAAGACCAUCAAGCUCUCUGUCAUCGAUGACGAGCUGUUCGAAGAGGACGAGCAUUUCUACGUUAGAUUAAGCAACGCGUCCCAGCCAGCCAUGCUAGUUUCACCUAGUUUAGCGACCGUGAUGAUUCUCGACGACGAUCACAGCGGCGUGUUCGGGUUCCCCGAAAGGGAUAUGGAGCUUGUGGAAAGCGUUGGCCAGUAUCCUUUGCGAGUGAUGAGAUACAGCGGGGCAAGGGGACGCGUGGUCGUCCCUUAUCGCACCAUUGAGGGUACAGCUAAGCCUGGAAAGCAAUACAUGCAUACCGAGAGUUCUCUCACCUUCGAGGACAAUCAGACCGAAAAAGAGAUCACGUUGGAGAUCAUCGAGGAAGAUUCGUACGAGAAGGAUGCCCUGUUCUACGUCGAGCUUGGUGAGCCACAGUUACAAGGGGCCGAGGCAGGGAUCGCAGUGGCGGCGGAAAUGAAACAGCCAGAGGAGCGUACCGCCGAGGAAAAAAUGGCGUUGCUCGGGAAACCGAAGUUGGGCGAGGUGUUCAGGGCACAGAUACGGAUCAAAGAGUCGAAGGAGUUCAAAAAUACCGUGGACAAACUGGUGCAAAGGGCCAACGCCUCCAUACUGCUCGGCACCAGUUCCUGGAAGGAACAGUUCACGGAGGCAUUGACGGUGAGCGGCGGCGACGAGGACGACGAGGGCGGCGGGGAACCGGCGGCGCCGUCCACCCUGGACUAUCUGAUGCACGGGUUGACGAUACUGUGGAAGGUGUUGUUCGCGUUCGUUCCGCCCACGGAUAUCGCCGGUGGUUACCUGUGCUUUGUCGUCAGCAUAUUCGGGAUCGGCGUGGUGACGGCGGUAAUUGGAGACGUGGCAUCCUACUUUGGCUGCACCCUGGGCAUCAAGGACUCGGUCACCGCGGUUGCCUUCGUCGCUCUCGGCACCAGCAUCCCCGACACGUUCGCGAGCAAGGUGGCCGCAUGCCAGGACAAGUACGCCGACGCGAGCGUGGGGAACGUGACCGGAAGUAACGCGGUGAACGUCUUCCUGGGGAUCGGCGUUGCAUGGAGCAUCGCGGCCAUUUACCAUGCGUUGCACGGUGACAAGUUUAGAGUAAAACCGGGCAACUUGGCCUUCUGCGUGACGUUGUUCUGCACGGAAGCGUGCCUGGUAAUAUUAGUUCUACUACUGAGGCGGACGAAAAGCAUUGGCGGCGAACUCGGCGGGCCAUUCGUCCCAAAAGUGAUUACGUCGCUGAUCCUUUUUUUCCUCUGGGUGUUCUACCUCAUUAUGUCGAUCCUCGAGGCCUACGGCUAUAUCGAGGGCUUCUAAAAGGAGCCCGUUCAGCGGCAAACGUCGGCCUACUCCGCGUGUAUCUUAAACUCGUCGCGUCCGCCAAGGCGUGUGCUCAACGAAACGUUCUCUCGGACAAAAAGGAAGUGGAAUCGAAGGGGUGCGAUUUCGCUGGCGAACGAACACUCUGUGCCGGAAAACUACUGGUAGCUUUCGCCCUCCCACAUCCGGGAUUGAUUUAACAACGAACGUGAUCGCGUGACGUUAUGCGUGCAUGUGCGUUAGAGGUACCUGAGGGAGUGAGAAUGAGAGAGAGAGAGAAAGAGAGAGAGUGAAAGAAUGAAUGUAUCUGAGAACGAGCGAAGAAGAGGUUGAAGAAUUGGAGGGAAGAAAACGAGAAGAGGAAAGGAAAUGGUGGCAAAAAGAGGAGAGGACAAAGAGCGAACAAAGGAGAAGCUUGCGUGUGCGAGGAAGUAAAGUGAGUUUGCCUUAAAAUAUAAUUUAACGGAUAGAUCGCAUAUGUAACGAGAGGUUAUAUAAGUGGAAAAAGAAAAAAAAAAAAAAAAGAAGAAACGUGUUCUAAUCUCCCGUGGGCCCGUGAAUCAAUCUGUGUUCACGGCUGUUAUCAAAUAUAUCGAUGAAAAAUACAGAAGGAUAUAUUAUAUAUACAGACACACGUAUGUAUAAAAUAGCGUAUUUAUUUAAUCGUUCGAUGAACAGGACACACACACACACACACACACACACACACGCAUAUAUACAUAUACACAUACACAAGUUUCUAUGGUAUUUUAGUAGCGGAUUGUGUCGCCAUUCCUCUUUCGCCAGAGAACGAUGUCGCUAAUUUUAUAUAAACGUAUAUUAUCAUACGAUACUAACUUUUAAAAAAAAAAAAAAAAAAAGAAAGGACACGAUCCUCGAUGCUUUCGCGAUCCUCGACGACAAACCGUUCUCGAGCGUUUCGUAUGCAUUGUGUUAUAUACACACACACAUAUAUAUAUAUAUAUCGAAAGAGGUCGUAGAUUUUUUUCAUCGCAAAAAAAUUCCAAAUCGCGAUCUUAAGGAAGGAAUAUUUACUUAUUAGGGAAUAAAUAAGACAUAAGGAGGAUACAUACACGUAGCCGCGGUAAGAGCAAGGCAGUUGUACAGUUGUGGAAGCGCGAAAUCGUAUUUACAUCCCCCGCGAAGGGGAGGGAAAGAAGAUAAACGGUUCGAUUUGUUUAGAAAUUGCGAGAUUCCAUUCGAACGAACAUUCGUUUUUUUUUUUUUCUUCUCUCCAUUGCAAUACUACAGUACUUACGAUUUCGAUUAAGAUUUUUUUCCACCUUUCUUUUAUUUUUUUUUUUAUUCCGUUCAUCCGUUCAUUCUUAUUCGGCAAUAAAUCUUGAAUCUUAAUCUUAAUCUUAAUAACGCGCGAUUUCGAUGAUGAUGAUAAUAAUAAUAAUAAGAAACCUUGCUCGCUGCGAUAAUUGCUUAGAACGUUAACUCGUUAACACGAUGAAACAUGUUUGCUAUUUAUUAUAAGAGUAAUUAGAUAGUGCGACGAGAAAGAAAAAAAGAAAAAAAAAAGAAUAAAAAAUAAAAAUAUAUUUCAAUGCGUUCGCGGUAAAGUGGGCGGCCUUCGUUCGAAUGUUGAAAAUUUUCGUUGAUGUUCACUGCCUUUGACCGAGGGUCGCUUAAUCGUGAUCGAGUUUUCAAAAAAGUUUUCGAAACGGACAUCGGUAGGACAAACGUAGAAUACGCACGAUAACAUGCAUCAGGUAUACAUGUAUGUAUAAAGAAAGAAAAAAAAAUGCAAUUUCGAAUAUCCGGGGCUGAUAAAAGGUUAUUAGAAGCCUCUCUGUAAUAAACGAAUAAUAUUAAAGUUAGCACGCGUUGAAGAAAAAAAAAAAAAAAAAACAAGCUUUUCCGAACUAGCCGGAAGCCUCGUUUUUAAAAGGAAAAAAGAAGAAGAAAAAAAGAAAGAAAAAAAAAAAAGGAACCGCGAUCAAAGUUCACCGAAACGUUUAUAUCGAAUAUAUCUCUAUAUAGGAAUACUCAGAAGAAUCACAGUGACUUAAUAACGUUCUCAGUGAGAACACAAUGUUCGAUUAAUUUUAGAGAAACCGUUGUUGAAUACGGCCGCGAUCGGCCGUGGUUAUCUAAUUCGUGUUCUUAAAAAAAAGAAGAAAAAAAAGAAAAAAACGAAGGAAGGCGUGGUUAAAAGCUUUAGCUAAGAACAUACUACAUACAUACAUACAUACAUACAUACAUACAGAUUUAAUCGACACUGCAAAGGUUGUGCAACUGAUUCCAAAUAUAUUACUUUUCAUCUUUUCACGAGAGAUGAUUGAAAGAAAAAAAGAAAAAAAAAAAAAAGAAAAACCUCGGUUCUGCCUCGAUGAUAAAGAUCGACUCGUCCUCCAACGACGUUCCGCCGUUCUAGUAGUCGAUUUAAAUAUAGAAGCAGAAGUCUCGUCGCGACUAAUCCCCGUGGAACGAUCCAAAAGAUCCCCCGUUACGUUAUCGUUAAAGUUGGCAGACGUGGUUGAUGAACGAUUCAUGCUGCCCCUUCGCAUCGAGUCAACCUUCUCUUCGUGGAAUCGCGUGUAAUUAAGGAGAGAGAGAUAAAGGAUCAGAAGAUGCUCUCGAAGCAAGGUUGGUCGGCCGCGCGUGAUUGUAUCCAGAGAGAAGAAUCUCUGGCCCCCUUCUAACUUGUUUCGAAAUUGAUACGAGCUUCCCUUUUCAUCCGACGAUAUAAUGGAAUCGGGGACCGAUACGGGGGGAAGAAAAUUUCAGGCGAAAUCUCUUGGGGGGACGCGUGCAAGGAUGGGAAGUGAACGAAUCGGGGCGAUUCUCGACGUCGUUUUUACAGGCAGAGGGAAACGCGAAGGAAAACGUGAAAAGACGAUCUUUCGAUGGCCAAACGGAACCCGCGUCACGGAAGUCCGGAAUGGACGGUUACCAAUCCUCCUUUCCUUCUGGGAAAGAUCGACAAUCGAAAUAGAACGAAUCUGUGCGCGGCAGAGAGAGAGAGAGAGAGAGAGAGAAAGGUUAUCCGUUCGAAAAAUCGGAACUUAGGAUUUCUUUUUCGUUUCGUGAUGAUCGACAAAAAAAUCAUUGGCAAGAGAAUCGAAACGAUUUUUUUCUAUAAAUGAUGCGCAGAUUCGUUCUGAGGAACAAAGUGAGUUUGUAGGCCGCGUUAUUUGAAAUUCGUUCGAAUAUUUUUUCGAAUAUUACGUCAAGAAAAUUCUUUGAAAAUUUCUUCAGGAAAAAUGCAUCGGUAUUGAUAUAAUGAUAUUCAACGCACAUCGUUGUGUAUAUAAUCCAAUGAUUACAAUUCAUAAUGACAAUUUCUAUAAAAAUAUUGUAUCUACUCGGAUUACAAGAGAUAAUCGAUUAAAUGCAAACGCACAUAAGACGAUUAAAAUUUUCAAUAA
rnacentral:misc_RNA from 1 species